rnacentral:rRNA from 1 species
GUGACUCUGUUCAACGGCCGCGGUAUCCUAACCGUGCGAAGGUAGCGUAAUCACUUGUUCUUUAAAUGAGGACUAGUAUGAAUGGCACCACGAAGGUUAUACUGUCUCCUCUCUCUAAUCAGUGAAACUAAUCUCCCCGUGAAGAAGCGGGAAUAAACAUAUAAGACGAGAAGACCCUAUGGAGCUUUAAACUAUGUAACACUUGCACCACCACAACACAAAUUUCAGAAAAAUCUCUCCAACGCAUGCAAGCUUAUUACCAGUUUUAGGUUGGGGUGACCGCGGAGCAAAAAACAACCUCCACAUUGAAAGGAACUUACUCCUUAGCCAAGAGCCACACCUCCACGCACCAUUAUAAUGACAUUAAUUGACCCAAUAUUUUGAUCAACGAACCAAGUUACCCUAGGGAUAACAGCGCAAUCCAUUUCAAGAGCUCCUAUCGACAAAUGGGUUUACGACCUCGAUGUUGGAUCAGGGUAUCCCGGUGGUGCAGCCGCUACCAAA